GGGAUACAUUUUAAGGGAAGGGGAGUUUAAAAAAGUGAAUGCUUUUAUUCUAAGUAUACCUUUUAUUCUAUAUUCUGUAUUACCUUUUGGAGAACGUUACAUCACUCAGAAAAAUAAAGUAACUCCCAAUAUGUAUCUAUUUAGGAUUAAUAUUUUUAAAUAGUUUUGGUUUGAAAAUGUAUUCAUUCACUCAAAAGUAGGUACAGCUUUAGACCUAGACUUUGAGUUGUCCGUUUGUGAUGGUCUUUUAAAUUGUGGUUUUAAUAAGGAGAAAGACGUGUGACAGUGUCCUGUGACUGCUGCUGUCCACGUUUAUGAAAACAGUAUGUCCUCAGAGUGAUGUGGGGUUGGUGAGAAGUUCUUCUGAUUCUGCGGCCUCAGUGAGUUUAAGAGAAGUUUCUUAUGUAGUCUUAGCUUUUCCGUACCAGCUUUCUUUCAUCAACCUUUCCUAACAAUAAAGAAGAAGAAAAUAGCAACAGUUUUAUUUCCCCUGGUUUACCUUUCUUAUUUCUGUGACUACAUGACACCAAAGUAACUGGUUGGGAAACCAAUUCAGAUGACCAGUUGCUAGUUUUCACAACUUCUGAUCAAACUCUCAGUUGGACUGACAUUUAUUACCAGUGAAAAGACUGAAUAUUUGGAUUCCUGUGGAGUCAGCCUUUGUCUCUUCCCAUUUUCCACAGUUCUCCAAUUUUUCCCUCUUACUACCCAGUUUCCUCCAAUUGUUUCCUACUGCGUUUAGGGGAAUUUCUUCCUUAUGGUUCUGAAUCUUUGGAAUUACAAGAGACAUGAGAACAGGGCUUCUCAUCGAGGUUAUGUUUUCCCAUGUCCACUAUUAAAUAGUUUUUUCUAUCAUGAAAGCAAACAUAGGAAGAAACCAACAUAUCUGAGAUCCAUAAAGGUGAACCCCUACCCCCUUUUUUCAAAACUUCAUUUUGUGCAGAAAGGCAACAUUAAAAACUUUUCCUCCAUAUAUUCUGUCUACGAAAGCUCUAUAAAGAUGAGAAAUAUGAUAUAGUUAUGCAGCUCUUCUAUGUUAGGGACAUAGCAUGUGCAUGUCGGCAUUUAGCUGCUGUCAGUAUUUUCGCUGCAGGGAUAUUCAGCAGGAACGAGAAUCAGCACCCAGAACCUGGUUGCCACAACACAAGGAUACACUGUUCUUCUCAGUCCUAGAGAUGUCGACUUGCCUUGCAUCCAGCUUUUCUUAGGUGUGGCCAGUGGUGGCUUGUUAGCGGGCCUGAUACCUGAUGUUCUGAUCAGUCUGUCUGAAACUGUCUUCUUCCUUCUAUAUUAGGAGAAGAUACAUUUUGAAUGUUUCAUCAGUAAUCAAAUAACCAACAUGUGGGAUAUACAGGACAUAAGGGAACUAACAAUCAAACACCAGUUACUGAAUACUCCAUGACACCCGUGGAAUGCGGCCAGGAAACGUGAAGCGUAUGACGGAUAGUACGCAAAAGAGAAAUAACUGAGAAGUCACAGAGUUAAGGCAAGUUUUAAGUCUCCUUUAAAUGCCUUGGAGCAAAACAGGCCAAUUACAGCUUUUGUUUGAAUGAAUCCAUCCAGUAGGAACUUCUGUCAAUAUGCAGGGAAAUCUACAUCAUUGCUACUCAAAGUGUGGUCCACAGACCAGCAGCAUCAGCAUCAGCAUCACCGAAGACCUUUUUAGAAAUAUAGACUCUUGGGGCCCAUUCCACACCUACUGAAUCAGAAGUUGCAUUUUAGCAAGGUCUGCAGGUAAUUGAGAAACACUGAUUUAGGUCAUGGUUAGAAUUAAGACUACUUUAUCUGUUUUAGUUCAGCUGCUUCAGGUUUUGAAUGCUGGAGUCCUUCCUCCUUGCCUCCCCCGCCCCCUUCUUGUUCUUCAUUUUCAUGAAACAUUUGGGAGAACAUUGCUAAAGAAAAAAGUUUCAAAUUUUUUUGAGACAACAGAAGAAAAAGAGCACCACUUUAUAACUUUGUCCAACUCCAAAUUGAGAUUCAAUGAAAGGGAAAAUAUAAAAUAGCUCCAGUCGUUUGCAUACAAUAUAUGGCUUGAACUUUGUUCUGUAUAAGGCUUUGUCUCCAAAUAAAACAAUUGUAUGAAAAACCCCACUAACUUCAUCUUCUUUAAUUUUCUGUGGUCUCUCCGUCCCUUCCAGCUGUGAAAUGCCUAUUUUCUUUUCCUCAGUCUCUUUCUCUCAUGCCUCCCCUCGCUCGCCCCCUCUUCCAGCUGGUAACAGUUUAUGAAGCAUGUUGCAGUGUUAAUACCGUGUUAAGGUGCUUUCAGCUGUUGGGUCUUUGAGACGUCAACGUCAGGACUGUUUUACUGUGAACGCUUGGCGGGUAGGGUAAAUCUGGGGACAUGCUGAACUUCUAGCUCCUCACCCUGUAGGAAGCCUUACAGCUAUAGGCACCUCUCCCAUAAUGCAGUGUUGCUGGCUGGCAGGUCCAUCCAUGUUGCUGCAAAUGGCAAGAUUUCAUUCUUUUUAAUGGGUCAUGAAACAUAUGGCCUAUAAAAUCAUUCCCAUUGGGAAAGAAUGGCAGAAAAGUCAUCCUCCUUUGAAGAUAAGUUUAAUUAAAAAGUAAAUUCCAGGGGCUGGCCUGGUGGUGAAGCACGUUCCGCUUCAGCAGCCUGGGGUUCGCCGGUUUGGAUCCCAGGUGCUGACCUAUACACCGCUUGUCAAGCCAUGCCGUGGCAGGCGUCCCACAUGUAAAGAAGAGGAAGAUGGGCAUGGAUGUUAGCUCAGGGCCAGUCUUCCUCAGCAAAAAGAGGAGGAUUAGUGGCAGAUGUUAGCUCAGGGCUAAUCUUCCUCAAAAAAAAAAAAAAAAAAAGUAAAUUCCAUCCUCUCAACAUCACAUCAGUGAUUGCUGCACAAUAACAUUGUUCAUAGCAAAAUUCCUGAUUGUUACUCAUUUUGUUUUUUAAAGCAAAUGCUGUCAUUGAGGAUUAAAAAUGUUUUUUUCAAUUAUACAAAUACAAAAAUGUUUAUUUUUAACUCAUCUAUAACAUUUUACAUGUACUUUUAAAUAGUUGUUUAAAAUAGUUGGAAAUAGGAUUUCUAAAUUAAUCAUUGUUUUAAAUAGUUUGGAUUAAGAUUUCUGAAUACUGGAUCUCCUGUGAAAUGAGGGAGUGGAGGGCAGAAUGUUUAUAAUAAAGUGCUUUACAUACUAAUCAUCUAGAAUGGGAUAGAAUAAACUGUUUCAAAUAUCCUUCCAGUUGUAAUGAUAGGAUGUUUUUAGGUAAAUUUACAGAAUUUGUUUUAUUUUACAAAUUGAUUGGUGUAUUCAUCAUUCACAGAUUUAUUAGUGAAAGCUGGAUUCUAAAUGACUUUCCUAUGAUAAGCUUUCCAAUUAAUUCUUCUCACACUGUUUUCCUGGUGACACUUGAACUUCCUUCAUUAUAUAAAACACAUCUGGAGUGAGACAUUGCUGAAUAAUAAUCAUGGAUGCUAACGUGUUAAGUAUUGGACCCCUGACAUAGUCAAAUGUGUUCUGGUUUAAAACAAUGACCUCAACUAAUGCUGCUUUAAGCGAACCACAUUUAGCAAGAAUAUAUAGGCAUGUCUGUUGAGCUCGCCUGUCUUGCGCUAGAAUUGGUCAAAAAGAGAGAAAUCAAAUUGCAAACUGUCUCCUUUGUGUAAUAGAGUUGGCUAUAUUAAGUCAUAUUUUUCCUCUCAUCAGCAAAUAUUUUUUCUUCUCUCUUGUCUUAUAUGAAAAAUAUUGCAAUAAGUAAAUAUUAAAAAAGGAUUAUCUAAAACAUAUGUUAAAUUAUGUAUUACUUAAAAUUUACAUUUGUAUCAUAGGGUUACUGAAUUUUUUCUGUGGUGUAUUUCAUAAAAGAGAAGAUGCUGAUAAGAUCUUGUUUAAAUGGCUUGCUAAUACAAGAAGCAGAUCAUUUAAAAUGAAACUUACAUCUUUAUAGGAUGUUAGAAAUGAAGACAUUACUUCAAAAUGUAGGUAAUUAUUGCCUCCUCUUUUAUCAGUGCUAUUUUCUGAGGUAUUAUCAUAAGAGAGCACUUUAGUAUUAAACACAGCCUUCGAGUGGCUAUAAAUCAGGCCAACUGAGUCAUCAUUGUCUAAGGCAUCUGAACUACUGCAAUGUUGUGGAUCCUACCGAGAGUGUGAAAUCACUUGACCCUUGGCAUUAACCUUCGCUGAAUGAAUAGACACUGCUUUCCACAUUGAGGAACAAAGCAGAAGACUAUUGAUUAAACACCACAUUCACUUGAUAUUAAAUACCGGCUGAACUCACUUCUUGCUUCCAGUUCCAGAGGGAGAAACCCAGAGAGUUGCUGAGUCUCAGGAGAAUGGAUGUUUGUAAUUCAGAGCAAUGUUUUUCCUGCAAAGUACUUUUUUUCUCCUUUGAUCAAUACCUAGCAGCCAUGAUCAGCCAUGAGUAUGUAUUGUCAAUUCUGACCUGUGUAUUUUAUCACUUAAGGUGAGAGGUCACAGUGCUGUGACUAAUAUUUCAGUUCUCAGCAUGAAUUGUUUCCUGACUUCAAUAUCUGUGUGAAGCAGCCAUUUCUUUCAUUUCAUUUCUUGUUUAUGAAUCAUUUUUUUUGACAGUUGAUUUGCCUGCAUUAAUAAAACACAUUAUUUAAAACAAAUUUUUUUAAUCACUGUUUUUGCAGAUGGUGAAUUUUCUAGAACUUGACAUUAUUAGAAGAAAUCAUAAUCACAGGACGUUUUAUGAUUUAUGGUUUAUGUUAUUUGGGAAAGAGAAACAUAGUUCAAUAAAUUUCUCAAGUUAGAAGAAAGCAAAAGCUUUGGAAGAGAGUACAGUGAUGCUUAUGAGUGUAAAGGGAACAAUAAAAGAUAUUUUACAGGAAGUCUUAAGCUAAUUGUCCUCUGAUCCACUGCUUGUACCUACACUAUUGACAACAGUUUGACAGCUUCUUGGUAGACUUACUUUAUCCAGAAGGUGAACAUUUAUUGUUGACAUAUAAAUUAAUUCAAUUCAUAGAACUAGAAUUAAGUUUAAAAUUUUAGCCACAAACAAGAAAAGCAUUUACACCUUAAAUUUAAAUAGUUUCUAUGUGCUUAUAAACUGGAAUUACUUUAUUGCAGGAAGCAACAGAAAUAGCUACAAUUUCUUUCUUCUCUCUCAAAGUUUUCAUAUUAUUUUGGAACAAAUAAUUACAUAUUAUCUGGCCUGGAUAUUGCACGAGUAAAACUCUUUAUAAAUAAUUGUUUUCCUUGCUAUAGGUUUUGACUGGCUUGUGUUCAACACUGAGGAUUCUAGAUCAGCUCGUUGUGAGUUUGUCAUGGUUAAGCAAAGAUCAUUACUUGUCUGAAUAAUCGAAAAUAUUUCCUCUAAGGACAUAAUGGUGUAAUUUAAUACACACGAUCUCACACAGUUUGCACGAUGUUAGAAAAGGAAUAUU
rnacentral:lncRNA from 1 species